UACAAUAAGGAAAUGCCUUAGCUGUAGACAUCAUUUAUGGAACCGUAUAAAUAGAGCUCACAUUCAAAGGGUUUGCAAGAGAAGAAUUGUAUGAUACAUUUACACAUGCAAGUACAGCAAGUACCUCUAACUGUUUCUAUGACAGAUUUUCAGCUUGUGCUCCUGUCUCUACGCUACCUGCCAGAGGACACUGGGAAAAGGGUCAGCAACUGGGAGAAGGACAGAUGAAAACACUGCCUAUGCAGAGGUGCAGAUGAUAAAUCACAUGCCAGGCUCACCCCUGGACUGCCUCAGCAAGGGAAGCGAGAAGACAUGCAACAGUGAAUGAAGAAAAGGAACUCUGGACGAGAUAGGAGGCUUGGCAUAUCGCUCAGUGGUAGACCACAUCUACCACACAUGAAGUUGUGGGUUCAAUCCCUAGAACCGAAAGAAACAAUAAACGCAGAAACCAAAAAUGACAAGGGACUGGAGUGACACUUUUGGAUUUUUGGUUUCAUUACAGAACACA
ensembl:lincRNA 3110099E03Rik RIKEN cDNA 3110099E03 gene